CGUAGGUGCAAGCGUUAAUCGGAAUUACUGGGCGUAAAGCGUGCGCAGGCGGUUUCGUAAGACAGAUGUGAAAUCCCCGGGCUCAACCUGGGAACUGCAUUUGUGACUGCGAGGCUAGAGUGUGUCAGAGGGAGGUGGAAUUCCGCGUGUAGCAGUGAAAUGCGUAGAGAUGCGGAGGAACACCGAUGGCGAAGGCAGCCUCCUGGGAUAACACUGACGCUCAGGCACGAAAGCGUGGGAGCAAACAGGAUU
rnacentral:rRNA from 1 species